CAGCAACGCCGCGUGAGGGAUGAAGUAUUUCGGUAUGUAAACCUCGAAAGAAUGGGAAGAAUAAAUGACGGUACCAUUUAUAAGCUCCGGCUAACUACGUGCCAGCAGCCGCGGUAAUACGUAGGGAGCAAGCGUUGUUCGGAUUUACUGGGCGUAAAGGGCGCGUAGGCGGCGCGGUGAGUCACUUGUGAAAUCUCUGAGCUUAACUCAGAACGGCCAAGUGAUACUGCUGUGCUAGAGGGCGGAAUAGGCAACGGGAAUUCUUGGUGUAGCGGUGAAAUGCGGAGAUAUCAAGAGGAACACCUGAGGCGAUGGGGGGUUGCUGGGCCGACACUGA
rnacentral:rRNA from 1 species